ACUGAAAUACCAGUUCCUGUACAAUCAUAAAAGUUAAGCAAUGCUGAGCCUGGUCAGUACCUAGAUGGGUGACCGCUUAGGACUACCAGGUGCUGAAA